rnacentral:rRNA from 1 species
GACGAACCGUGCGAACGUUGUUCGGAAUCACUGGGCUUAAAGGGCGCGUAGGCGGUCGGCCAAGUCCGGGGUGAAAGCCCCCGGCUCAACCGGGGAAGGGCCUUGGAUACUGGCCGGCUGGAGGGAGGUAGGGGCAGCUGGAACUUCCGGUGGAGCGGUGAAAUGCGUUGAUAUCGGAAGGAACGCCGGUGGCGAAAGCGAGCUGCUGGCCCUCUUCUGACGCUGAGGCGCGAAAGCCAGGGGAGCGAACGGG